AACGAACGCUGGCGGCAGGCUUAACACAUGCAAGUCGAGCGGUAAGGCCCUUUCGGGGGUACACGAGCGGCGAACGGGUGAGUAACACGUGGGUGACCUGCCCUUAGCUCUGGGAUAAGCCUGGGAAACUGGGUCUAAUACCGGAUAUGACUCCAUGACGCAUGUUGUGGGGUGGAAAGCCUUGUGCGGCUAGGGAUGGGCCCGCGGCCUAUCAGCUUGUUGGUGGGGUGAUGGCCUACCAAGGCGACGACGGGUAGCCGGCCUGAGAGGGCGACCGGCCACACUGGGACUGAGACACGGCCCAGACUCCUACGGGAGGCAGCAGUGGGGAAUCUUGCGCAAUGGGCGAAAGCCUGACGCAGCGACGCCGCGUGAGGGAUGAC
rnacentral:rRNA from 1 species